rnacentral:piRNA from 1 species
UUCUAUUUUGUCAAGUUUUGC